rnacentral:rRNA from 1 species
UACGGGAGGCAGCAGUGGGGAAUAUUGCACAAUGGGCGCAAGCCUGAUGCAGCGACGCCGCGUGGGGGAUGACGGCCUUCGGGUUGUAAACUCCUUUCGCUAGGGACGAAGCGUUUUGUGACGGUACCUGGAGAAGAAGCACCGGCUAACUACGUGCCAGCAGCCGCGGUAAUACGUAGGGUGCGAGCGUUGUCCGGAAUUACUGGGCGUAAAGAGCUCGUAGGUGGUUUGUCGCGUCGUUUGUGUAAGCCCCGCAGCUUAACUGCGGGACUGCAGGCGAUACGGGCAUAACUUGAGUGCUGUAGGGGAGACUGGAAUUCCUGGUGUAGCGGUGGAAUGCGCAGAUAUCAGGAGGAACACCGAUGGCGAAGGCAGGUCUCUGGGCAGUAACUGACGCUGAGGAGCGAAAGCAUGGGGUAGCGAACAGGGAUUAGAUACC